UACGUAGGGUGCGAGCGUUGUCCGGAAUUACUGGGCGUAAAGAGCUCGUAGGUGGUUUGUCGCGUUGUCCGUGAAAACUCACAACUCAAUUGUGGGCGUGCGGGCGAUACGGGCAGACUGGAGUACUGCAGGGGAGACUGGAAUUCCUGGUGUAGCGGUGGAAUGCGCAGAUAUCGAGAGGAACACCUGCGGCGAAGGCGGGUUGCUGGGCUGACACUGACGCUGAACUGCGAAAGCUAGGGGAGCGAACGGG
rnacentral:rRNA from 1 species